AAGAAAGACAUAGUGGUUAUGGGGCUGGCUUGAAACUAGUCAUAGGGGGUUCGAUUCCCUCCUUUCUUG
rnacentral:tRNA from 1 species